UCCCUGGUGGUCCAGUGGUUAAGACUCUGCACUUCCAAUGCAGGGUGCCUGGUCAGGGAA
rnacentral:tRNA from 1 species